UGGGGAAUAUUGGACAAUGGGCGCAAGCCUGAUCCAGCAAUGCCGCGUGUGUGAAGAAGGCCUUCGGGUUGUAAAGCACUUUUAUCGGGAGCGAAAAGCGGCCGGCUAAUACCCGGUCGUGCUGACGGUACCCGAGGAAUAAGCACCGGCUAACUUCGUGCCAGCAGCCGCGGUAAUACGAAGGGUGCAAGCGUUAAUCGGAAUUACUGGGCGUAAAGCGUGCGUAGACGGCCUUUUAAGUCUGCUGUGAAAGCCCUGGGCUCAACCUGGGAACUGCAGUGGAUACUGUGAGGCUGGAGUGCGGUAGAGGAUGGUGGAAUUCCCGGUGUAGCGGUGAAAUGCGUAGAGAUCGGGAGGAACAUCAGUGGCGAAGGCGGCCAUCUGG
rnacentral:rRNA from 1 species